rnacentral:rRNA from 1 species
AUGUUGGGUCAAUGUGGUUGUUGUAACACCCCGGAUGUAACUUUCCCAAUUUGUACUCCAACUCUUGCCGUUUCCGGCGUUAAGUUAUUUUAUUUUUCUCGGGUUCGGGUUUUUGUCUCCGUGUGUUGUUAUUGUUGUCAUGCAUCUCAUAUCAUGUCAUCAUGUGUAUUGCAUUUGCAUACAUGUUCAUCUCAUACAUUCGAGCAUUUUCCCCGUUGUCUGUUUUGCAUUCCGGCGCUUCGUUCUCCUCCGGUGGUCUUUUCUAACUUUCUUUCGUGUGUGGGGAUUAAAAAUUUCCGGAUUGGACCGAGACUUGCCAAGCGGCCUUGGUUUACUACUGGUAGACCGCCUGUCAACUUUCGUAUCGUUUGGACUCCGUUUGAUACUCCAACGGUUAACCGAGGGACCGAAAAGGCAUCGUGUGUGUUGCAGCCCAACACCCCUCUAAUUUGGCCCAAAACCCACCUAAACCUGCUCCAUCAUCUAGAGCGUUUGAUCACGAUCGCAUGGCCGAAAACCGCACCUCAUUUGGACUCUCCUAGCUCCCUCUAUACCUAUAUAUAG